UGGAAUACAGCUUGGUGGUCCGUGGUAUUCAUGGGAUCGUUACACAUGACGUUUACAUUGGACGAGCAAACCCAGCAUCGUAAAGCGGAACCUGUUAAACGCACGAGAAGAAAUCUAUGAAGUCGUCCAUUUUAUAAAUUAAAUUCCUCUAAUUUGAAUGUUCAUGUCGGAGCGUUUCUAGUAUGUCAUCAAGUUAUUUUGGCGUCGGCCAUGUUCGUUUAAGGUAUCAGUAAAAUAAAAAUUAAAAUUCAUGGGAGCACAUGGAAGUUAUAAAGUUAUGGCAAAUACCUGCGCAAUACCAUACCGGAAAACAGGCGCGGUUAUGAUUAAAAAGUGACGUAACGCUGAGUGACCGUCUAUAUUAGUAGUUGUUGUUAUAUACAAUCAGGUUGCCGCCAUUGUAAAAAUGCAUUGAGGCGCGACGUAGUAGGUAACUUAACAGGAAAUGUCACGAUAUAAAAAACAAAACAGAACAAUAUUGUUGGCUACUGAAAUAAGUAAUAUCGUACUAAAAACAUGCAGUACUUGAGGACAAAAUUACAUAUGAAUAUGAGUACGAUAAGAAUAUAGCUACAAACAUGAUUCUGAGAGAAAAUUAUAAACAAGUUUUUAUAUUAACAUUAAAUUAAAUUUUGGUGAAUGAAUUUCCUAAAAUAGACAAAAUUUAUGGGGAAUACUGAUGUAAAUCAUACAGAAAACAAUUAUAUCUCUACAGCCAUAAAAUCAGCAGCGUGAAAAUAUUCCUUUUUAUAAUACAAACAAAUAAACUCUUCAAAACUUCAAACAAAAAA